AGUGAACGCUGGCGGUAGGCCUAACACAUGCAAGUCGAACGGCAGCACAGUAAGAGCUUGCUCUUACGGGUGGCGAGUGGCGGACGGGUGAGGAAUACAUCGGAAUCUACUUUUUCGUGGGGGAUAACGUAGGGAAACUUACGCUAAUACCGCAUACGACCUACGGGUGAAAGCAGGGGAUCUUCGGACCUUGCGCGAUUGAAUGAGCCGAUGUCGGAUUAGCUAGUUGGCGGGGUAAAGGCCCACCAAGGCGACGAUCCGUAGCUGGUCUGAGAGGAUGAAUAGCCACAAUGGAACGGGGACAAGGGCCAGACUCCUACGGGAGGCAGGAGUGGGGAAUAUUGGACAAUGGGCGGAAGCCCGAUCCAGCCAUACCGCGGGGGGGAAGAAGGGCUUCGGGGUGUAAAGCCCUUUUGUUUGGAAAGAAAAGCAGCAGGUUAAUACCCCGCUGUUCUGACGGUACCCAAAGAAUAAGCACCGGCUAACUUCGUG
rnacentral:rRNA from 1 species